rnacentral:rRNA from 1 species
GAUGAACGCUGGCGGCGUGCCUAAUACAUGCAAGUCGAGCGAACAGACGAGGCGCUUGCUCCUCUGACGUUAGCGGCGGACGGGUGAGUAACAUGUGGAUAACCUACCUAUAAGACUGGGAUAACUUCGGGAAACCGGUGCUAAUACCGGAUAAUAUAUUGAACCGCAUGGUUCAAUAGUGAAAGACGGUUUUGCUGUCACUUAUAGCUGGAUCCGCGCCGCAUUAGCUAGUUGGUAAGGUAACGGCUUACCAAGGCGACGAUGCGUAGCCGACCUGAGAGGGUGAUCAGCCACACUGGAACUGAGACACGGUCCAGACUCCUACGGGAGGCAGCAGUAGGGAAUCUUCCGCAAUGGGCGAAAGCCUGACGGAGCAACGCCGCGUGAGUGAUGAAGGUCUUCGGAUCGUAAAACUCUGUUAUUAGGGAAGAACAAAUGUGUAAGUAACUAUGCACGUCUUGACGGUACCUAAUCAGAAAGCCACGGCUAACUACGUG